rnacentral:rRNA from 1 species
UAACACGUGGGUAACCUGCCCAUCAGAGGGGGAUAACAUUCGGAAACGGAUGCUAAAACCGCAUAGGUCCUUUAACCGCAUGGUUGAAGGAGGAAAAGAGGCGCAAGCUUCUGCUGAUGGAUGGACCCGCGGUGCAUUAGCUAGUUGGCGAGGUAACGGCUCACCAAGGCCGUGAUGCAUAGCCGACCUGAGAGGGUGAUCGGCCACAUUGGGACUGAGACACGGCCCAA